rnacentral:tRNA from 1 species
UAUGAAGUGCCUGAAAAAAAGGAUUAUUUUGAUAGAAUAAAUUAUACACAUUGUGUCUUCAUAA